UGGUUUUUUAGCCACUUGACGUUGUGUUUAGCUCUCUAUACUCCCAUUACUUCGUUUGCAGGUUUUGCAUUAUAUUGUCGUAGCAGUUCUAGAGCCUCCUCUUUUCCUGAUAGAAGAUGGUAACAGUGUGCUACUGGAUAAGAAUAUAGCCAAGCAAAGAGCCAGGUUGCUUCUUGCUGUGUGAGUUGCUUGAGAGAGAAGAGAGCAGAAAUGAACUUCUCCAUCAGAAUAGGAAGAGCGGAAAAGGAAAUUUGCUUCUUGCUGUA